UACGAGGGGGGCGAGCGUUGUUCGGAAUUAUUGGGCGUAAAGGGCGCGUAGGCGGUCGGAUAAGUCUUGUGUGAAAUCUUCGGGCUCAACUCGAAGUCUGCACGAGAAACUGUCUGGCUUGAGUGUGGGAGAGGUGAGUGGAAUUCCUGGUGUAGCGGUGAAAUGCGCAGAUAUCAGGAGGAACACCAGCGGCGAAGGCGGCGCUCUGGGCCGGUACUGACGCUGAGGAGCGAAAGCGUGGGUAGCAAACAGG
rnacentral:rRNA from 1 species